UUUGAUGUUAGACUUUCGUUGUGUGCAGGUGUCCUUGUCAAGCUAGUCGAACAAGGUUGCGGGACCAAGGACAAUCCUAACCUGCCCGAAAAGGCUUCGGAUUCUGUGACGUCAGUUUGAACAGGGAUUCAAGAUGAAUCCUAAUAUGCCCACGUUUUGAGAGAUGCAGUUAAACAAGGAAUUUAAACAGAGAUUGAUCCUUUGAUACAACAGAGAGAGAGAGAGAGAGAGAGAUAGAAUCAACUCAACCCAGAGAAAGAGCAAAUGUUACAAGGAGUUACAAGGAUUAGGAUGUCGCCAAGUCUUAUUAC